rnacentral:tRNA from 2 species
GGGCUCGUGGUCUAGUUGGUUAUGACGUCGCCUUCACACGGCGGAGGUCCUGAGUUCGAAUCUCAGCGGGCCCA